ACAUGAAGUGAGAUUCUAAAAGACAAGCCAUUAAAUAUGUUACGGCAGGAGAUUGAACCAAUUUGAAAAACCGAGUGUAAAGAUUAGGACAUGCUUCGGUGUUUCGCGGAAGGAUAUGACCAACCCGCUCAUUAUUUUUUUGCGCCAGCGCUGACAAUCGAAGAGCUAGCUGCACUCUUUGAUCGUCAAAUAUUUCUAUUGGUAGGAUUUGGGAUUGUCUGACAACAUCCGGAUCACGUAAAUGCGUUAUAAUUG